rnacentral:rRNA from 1 species
GGAAUAUUGGGCAAUGGGCGAAAGCCUGACCCAGCCAUGCCGCGUGUGUGAAGAAGGCUCUGGGGUUGUAAAGCACUUUAAGUAGGGAGGAAAGGGUAGUAUUUAAUACGUGCUAUCUGUGACGUUACCUACAGAAUAAGCACCGGCUAACUCCGUGCCAGCAGCCGCGGUAAUACGGAGGGUGCAAGCGUUAAUCGGAAUUACUGGGCGUAAAGCGCGCGUAGGCGGUAUGUUAAGCGAGAUGUGAAAGCCCCGGGCUUAACCUGGGAAUUGCAUUUCGAACUGGCAUGCUAGAGUACAAGAGAGGGUGGUGGAAUUUCCAGUGUAGCGGUGAAAUGCGUAGAGAUUGGAAGGAACAUCAGUGGCGAAGGCGGCCACCUGGCUCGAUACUGACGCUGAGGUGCGAAAGCGUGGGGAUCA